UACCGGGGGGGCAAGCGUUGUUCGGAAUUACUGGGCGUAAAGGGUUUGUAGGUGGCUUGCUCAGUCAGACGUGAAAUCCCUCAGCUUAACUGGGGAACUGCGUCUGAUACUAGCGAGCUUGAGUGCAGGAGAGGAACGCGGAAUUCCAGGUGUAGCGGUGAAAUGCGUAGAUAUCUGGAGGAACACCGGUGGCGAAGGCGGCGUUCUGGACUGCAACUGACACUGAAAAACGAAAGCCAGGGGAGCAAACGGG
rnacentral:rRNA from 1 species